UACGGAGGAUCCAAGCGUUAUCCGGAUUUAUUGGGUUUAAAGGGUGCGUAGGCGGCCUAUUAAGUCAGGGGUGAAAGACGGUAGCUUAACUAUCGCAGUGCCCUUGAUACUGAUGGGCUUGAAUAUACUAGAAGUAGGCGGAAUGUGACAAGUAGCGGUGAAAUGCAUAGAUAUGUCACAGAACACCAAUUGCGAAGGCAGCUUACUAUGGUGCAAUUGACGCUGAGGCACGAAAGCGUGGGGAUCAAACAGG
rnacentral:rRNA from 1 species